UACGUAGGGGGCGAGCGUUGUCCGGAUUUAUUGGGCGUAAAGAGCGUGUAGGCGGCCAGGUAGGUCCGUUGUGAAAACUCGAGGCUCAACCUCGAGACGCCGAUGGAAACCAUCUGGCUAGAGUCCGGAAGAGGAGAGUGGAAUUCCCGGUGUAGCGGUGAAAUGACGCAGAUAUCGGGAAGAACACCCGUGGCUAAGGCGGCUCUCUAGUACGGUACUGACGCUGAGACGCGAAAGCGUGGGGAGCGAACAGG
rnacentral:rRNA from 1 species